AUUGAACGCUGGCGGCAUGCCUAACACAUGCAAGUCGAACGGCAGCACAGCAGUAGCAAUACUGUGGGUGGCGAGUGGCGGACGGGUGAGGAAUACGUCGGAAUCUGCCCAGUCGUGGGGAUAACUAGCCGAAAGGUUAGCUAAUACCGCAUACGACCGAGAGGUGAAAGCGGGGGACCGCAAGGCCUCGCGCGAUUGGAUGAGCCGACGUCGGAUUAGCUAGUUGGCGGGUAAAGGCCCACCAAGGCGACGAUCCGUAGCUGGUCUGAGAGGAUGAUCAGCCACACUGGAACUGAGACACGGUCCAGACUCCUACGGGAGGCAGCAGUGGGGAAUAUUGGGACAAUGGGCGCAAGCCUGAUCCAGCAAUGCCGCGUGUGUGAAGAAGGCC
rnacentral:rRNA from 1 species